rnacentral:hammerhead_ribozyme from 1 species
GCAUUGUGAAGAGUCCCACAAUAGGACGAAACGGCCGUCCAGUGC